AUACCUUUCUCGGCCUUUUGGCUAAGAUCAAGUGUAGUAUCUGUUCUUAUCAGUUUAAUAUCUGAUAUGUGGAUCAAGUACCCACAAUGAUAUUAAAUUUAUUUUUUGUGGGGGAGAACUAAUAAUAAUGGCUUGCCAUUAGGUUUUCAAGUGUCGCCUGAGCGUUGCACUGCUGCUUAGGCCUGGCACACCCCAA
rnacentral:snRNA from 2 species